rnacentral:lncRNA from 1 species
GACGGCGGACGGAUGUAGUGGUGGGUUGAACGGCAGCGAAUGACCGGUGAACGGAGACGGAGAGUGUGGAGAGGAGACGGCGGAUGUUUGCUGGUGGGUUUGGGUGUACGGUGGAGCUCGGUUGAAGAUGUUGAUGAUAACAGAUUAAAAUUUUGAUGUUAGAUGUAAAAUGUAGUUGAUGUUCAACUGUUUGAUGAAGCUGAUGUCUGUUGACGCUGGCCGGAAAUAGUGGUGGUUUUGGUUGAAGUCAGUUCACCGGAUACGUGGCGGCGCCGGAAUAACUUGCCGGAACCCUAAAUUAUGGCUGGAAGUUUGCAGGAGAAAGAAGAUGUUGUCCCGGCAACAGUGGAGGUCGGAAAUAGAUCGUCGGAAAGGCGGCGCCGGAGAAUAUUGCCAGAAACCCUAAUCUGUUAAAAGAGAUUCAAUUUUUUUUUUUUAAUAUACUUCUGUUUCUACUCUU